AUCCACUUCGCUCGCUGAAACUGAUUGGAUUUCAUACAACACAGAAAGAUUGGCGACAAUUCCAGUUUGUGUUGUUUUUAUAUAGUAGAUAACAAACAAACAGAUUCAAUUAGAACCAUACGACUAGUGAUAUCGACCGCAAUCGCGGAAGACGUCGCCUACGUCCUUCCAUCAACUGCGCAUUGGACGAGUUAUCAUCAAUGUUUAUUUUGUUGUCAACUGAAAUGGGCCCAGCUUUGCUGUGUUGUAAAAGGUUGUUGAGCCUAUGAAUCAAGAACUUUGACGUUGUAAACAGUAGAAAAUAGGCCGAUAUUUUUGUGAUCCCCCGGAAACCGAAGACGCCGAUAACUUGUUAUGUGUAUUUUAGUUUUAUACAAAAUAAAUAGAAAAUGAAGAUUUUAUUGCGUUAUGUGAUCUGUUGUGAAAUUCAAAUAACGCCAUCAUCGCGAACUCCAUCCCCAGUGCGUAUUUCGGGAUCAUCAUGGGGAAAUACGAUCUUGUAUUUACCACAUACAUGUUACCAUCACAAAAACGAAUCACGUGUUACCGACACAUGCGUGUUUGUUAUUCCGAAAAUUCACGCUUGAAACACAGUCAUAAUAAAGAAGAAUUAAAGUUAACCCAGUUACUGCUGUAUGGCAUUGAAACUUGACAUAAUAAAAUAAAAAGGAUACAGUUUUAGAAGAUGUCUCCAGUUUCCUUGGAACACUUACGCGUAUGCUCGCAAUGACUUUAAGGUUUCUUGAGGUUGCUAUAAAAAGCCCUGGUUGAUCAAAGGAAAAACCAUCGACAAGCGAUUGUUUCAUCCACGUUCGUCAGAGGAACAGCAAAGAGAAAAGAAAAUGCUUCGCCUUGCAGUAAUUAUUGUUUUAUUAGCAGUAAUCGUUUCUUCCGCACUUGCGCAACUGAUUCCUUACCACUAUUUUCCGCCAGGCGGUUUCCACCACCACCACCAUGGGCAUCAUCACCACCAUGGACAUCACCACCAUCAUGGACAUCAUCACCAC